rnacentral:tRNA from 1 species
GCCUUCGUGGUGUAGUGGUCAGCACGCUCGACGCGUAUUCGAGAGGUACGUGGUUCGAGUCCUGGUGAGGACA